rnacentral:lncRNA from 1 species
CCAUGCCUGCUCUGUGGUUUUCAGCAAAGCGGACCUUUCCAAAAGACCUCCAACGGGGACUUCCUGGAUGUGAGAACACUAACCAAUUCUCGUUCCUCUCAUCUUUUGCUUUAUUCCUUCCUUCCACGCUGUUAUUGCGAAAAACUGGCAGUUAAAUUCAAUUGAUUCAAAAUAUUCGGGAUCCAUAUGGCCGCCAACCCUGGAGCUGAAGCGGCGAUAGCGCCUCACUGCUGUUUUCAAGCAUUUGCCUCUCCUCCAGUCCCCAGAUGGUGGGAGUAACAUUUAAACCUCCUUUUCUCUCUCAUCACCCAUGCACACAACCAGGUAUGUGACGCAGUUGGGUUGCAAGAGCUGAAUCCUAGAAACUCCUAGGCAGGGCUCCUCCUCUCCAGCUCU